GACGAACGCUGGCGGCGUGCUUAACACAUGCAAGUCGAACGGAAAGGCCCUGCUUUUGUGGGGUGCUCGAGUGGCGAACGGGUGAGUAACACGUGAGUAACCUGCCCUUGACUUUGGGAUAACUUCAGGAAACUGGGGCUAAUACCGGAUAGGAUCUCCUGCUGCAUGGUGGGGGUUGGAAAGUUUCGGCGGUUGGGGCUGGACUCGCGGCUUAUCAGCUUGUUGGUGGGGUAGUGGCUUACCAAGGCUUUGACGGGUAGCCGGCCUGAGAGGGUGACCGGCCACAUUGGGACUGAGAUACGGCCCAGACUCCUACGGGAGGCAGCAGUGGGGAAGAUUGCACAAUGGGCGGAAGCCUGAUGCGGCAACGCCGCGUGCGGGAUGACGGCCUUCGGGUUGUAAACCGCUUUCGCCUGUGACGAAGCGUGAGUGACGGUAAUGGGUAAAGAAGCACCGGCUAACUACGUG
rnacentral:rRNA from 1 species